rnacentral:tRNA from 1 species
UAGCUCAGUUGGUUAGAGCAACAGAUUGUUUAUAUGGCGGUAAUGCUAAUAUAUAGUAGGUUUAAUUCCUACUACCGCCA